rnacentral:rRNA from 1 species
UGGGGAAUUUUGGACAAUGGGGGCAACCCUGAUCCAGCCAUGCCGCGUGCGGGAAGAAGGCCUUCGGGUUGUAAACCGCUUUUGUCCGGAAAGAAAAGACCACGGCUAAUACCUGUGGUUCUUGACGGUACCGGAAGAAUAAGCACCGGCUAACUACGUGCCAGCAGCCGCGGUAAUACGUAGGGUGCGAGCGUUAAUCGGAAUUACUGGGCGUAAAGCGUGCGCAGGCGGUUCGUUGUGUCUGCUGUGAAAUCCCCGGGCUCAACCUGGGAAUGGCAGUGGAAACUGGCGAGCUUGAGUGUGGCAGAGGGGGGUGGAAUUCCGCGUGUAGCAGUGAAAUGCGUAGAGAUGCGGAGGAACACCGAUGGCGAAGGCAACCCCCUGGGCUGACACUGACGCUCAGGCACGAAAGCGUGGGGAGCAAACAG